GGUAGGGCAUGGGUGAGUGAGAAAGUUUUUCAGGGGGGUGGGGAUAAAGAUAGGUUUUCAGUUUGGAGAUAAUAGUUUAAAUUCGUGUUUUCACUAUUUAAUUAACCAGAAAUUGUAGAAUUGUCCAAAAUUAGUGAAACCAAUUUUAUUAGGAAUGUUUUAUCUUCCUUUAUGCAUUAAAAAUUCUUACACCCUAGGAAAGGGUAAUAAAAAUUAGGUAUUUAUUUAGUACCUUUAGUUAAGGUAUUUAAAUAAAUACUUAGUCUUUAUAAAAUAUAUAAAAUAUUGAAUAAUGUUUUAUUAUUCGCAAAUUCUUAGUAAUCCAUAGGAAUUAGGUUUUGGAGAUUAGAAUUUAUUUAUAAUGUUUUUCUAAAUAAAAGAAAAGGCUUAAGGUAGGUUAGUAAAGAAAUUAAAAAUUGUGGGUUAAUCUUUAUGGGUAGUUUAGUGUUGGCUUGCAACUUUAUCAUGAAGAUAGCAACUUUAUCAUGAAGAUAGGUUGUAUAGUCACUUAUCGGCUUCCAACUUUAUCAUGAAGGAAAGUUGUAUAGUC
rnacentral:lncRNA from 1 species